rnacentral:misc_RNA from 1 species
CGGUUACACCUGCGGUUU